rnacentral:rRNA from 1 species
GACAGAGGGUGCAAACGUUGUUCGGAAUUACUGGGCGUAAAGCGCGUGUAGGCGGCGGUGCAAGUCGGAUGUGAAAGCCCUGGGCUCAACCCAGGAAGUGCAUUCGAUACUGCAUCGCUGGAGUCCCGGAGAGGAUGGUGGAACUCUCGGUGUAGAGGUGAAAUUCGUAGAUAUCGAGAAGAACACCGGUGGCGAAGGCGGCCAGCUGGACGGUGACUGACGCUGAGACGCGAAAGCGUGGGGAGCAAACAGG